GAGGCCGGAGGGUAUCUCUGGCCCCAGAGAAGGCCCCGCCUCCCUGCACGCAGGCCGUGGGCGCCGGUGAUGGCGCCGCUCCCUAAGCUCGCUGUCUUCGAUCUGGAUUACACGCUCUGGCCAUUCUGGGUGGACACGCACGUAGACCCCCCAUUCCACAAGAGCAGUGAUGGGACUGUACGAGAUAGGCAAGGCAGGACCAUCCGACUGUACCCAGAGGUGCCCGAGGUCCUGGACCGAUUUCGAGGCCUUGGGGUGCCCAUGGCAGCCGCUUCACGGACAGGUGAAGUAGAAGGGGCCAACCAGCUACUGGAGCUCUUUGACCUUGCCAGAUACUUUGUUCAAAGGGAAAUCUAUCCAGGCAGCAAGGUCACACACUUUGAGAGGCUGCAGCAGAAGACUGGAGUUCCUUUCUCCCAGAUGAUCUUCUUUGAUGAUGAGAAGCGGAAUAUUGUAGACGUCAGCAAACUGGGUGUUACCUGCAUUCAUGUUCAGAAUGGAAUGAGUCUUCAAGUCCUGACUCAGGGACUAGAGACCUUUGCAAAGGCCCACGCUGGACCCUGAGGUCCAGUCCUGUGGAGGAGCCUCAUUUGAGGCAUAAAACUCAAGGAAACCAGGAAGGUGUUUUCAGGUUGGACAGUCUGUUCGAAGCGGCUGCUUUGAACCCAGCUUGCGGGUUUGGGGCUGGUGGCUCCCG